rnacentral:lncRNA from 1 species
AAAUUUUUUUCUAAGCUUCUUUAUAAGAGAUAUUGCAAUUUUCUUCAUUAUUCUGGAAAAUGAGGGGUGAAAUCUUCACAUCUGUGAAUCAAAACAUCUACUGACAGCUUGAAUCUUCCCUCUAUAGGUUCGUAAAGGCUAUCUUUUUAGUUUAGAAAAGAACUGGUUUUACGAACUAGCUGCAGUUUAAACUCAUUGCUGACUUCACACUUAAUUUUGCUUAUGGGUUACAAAAAACUGGGCAAAUAUAAGUUUCCUUGACAUUCCGUGUCAGCAGAAUAACUGAGGCUUUUCACUUUUACACAGAGUAAAUCAGCGUCCAACAAUACUCAGGAAAACAUUUGGAGAAGAUCGAACAGUGAUGGUACAGAUUCAGAGGAGAGCAAAAUACUUCAUGUUUCAGAAGAACCUAGACAGAUUUCUCCAAAUGCAUCUCUACUUGUUUGUCAUUCACACUGACAUGAGAACCUCCUCUUCUUGGUAAAGUAACAGUGAGAUUCAGAUGCCUAUGAAAGAGCUCGCAGCAGCUGUUUUGGAUGUCCUCAAGAUGUAAGAAGCUCCAGACAGAGCAGGCUGAUGUGAUGCAGGAUGAAAGAAAAUUGACCUUCUGGAGAUUUGACUGGGCACCAAGCAGGACAAUGCAAGUCGAGUGAAUUCUAACCUUUAUUGUGUUCAUGUUCUUCUAAUGAAAAAAUAUACCGUAACUCAGCAUUAAUAAUGAGAUACAG